GCCGCUCCCCUUGAGCGAGUGGGUAACACAUCUCCUCCCUCUGGCUCCCAGAAACCCGAAGGGAGACUUAUCAAGGAGUCUCUGAGCGGGAAAGCAAUCCUCUCCAGAGGAGGCAAGUACCAGAAAGGAUGCCAUUUGGAUGCUGGGGUGCAAAGGUUGGAGACCCCCAUGUGGGUGGGCUGAUGAGUCAGAAAAGAGCCUGACCCUGGAGAUCUCAGAAGGGAAAGGGUUUCAGGAAAGGGAGGGAGAAUGGAGUCACACCUAUGCUUGGCAUGCACUCCUGGAAUGUGGAGGCAGGGGGAUUAACAGAGGUUAGAAAGCCCCAUACUGAGAGUCCCCUUGGUUUGCACUGAAGAGCGUGCAAUCUGUGAUAGCUGGAUGGGGGGAGGGAGGAGGGAGGGAGGGAGGGAGGGACGGGGGGGGGAGAGAAAGAGAGAGAGAGAGAGAGAGAGAGAGAGAGAGAGAGAGAGAGAGAGAGAGAGAGAGAGAGAGAGAGAGAGAGACUGGUCCCAAGACAACGUGCUGGAGAGAGGGGAUUCUCGGAGUCAGAACACUGUGUGGUUUGGGCCAUCUGAGGUGCUGCACAGAGGCAACAUAAAUGGAAGGAGGAACAGGGUGUGACGCUUCGGUCGCCACAGUUGGUGAUGAGUGUUUCUGGGGUCUCAGUUGCUAGAUUCUGAAACAGGGCAGCUACUGAGGGUGACCGAGUGACUCAUGUGGGGUGAUGGACAGGAGCGGAUCUGGGCUUUGCUUUUGACCCUCUGCUCUCUUGCGAGGGCUUCUCAGCCUUCUUGUUCCCAGCUGCUGAAGAUCUGGAUGACACCUGGUUUGCUCAAAAGAGACCCUUGGGAUUUUGCUCACUUGCUGUCUGGCGGGAUCAAAUCCCUUUGACAUUCGUUUCUCUAGCUGUAUUCUCCCAAAGAUGUUUUAAUUCUUUAACAGACCAAACUUAUAAAUGGU
rnacentral:lncRNA from 1 species